UACGUAGGGUGCGAGCGUUAAUCGGAAUUACUGGGCGUAAAGCGUGCGCAGGCGGUGAGCUGUGUCCGAUGUGAAAGCCCCGGGCUUAACCUGGGAAUGGCAUUGGAAACUGGCUUGCUGGAGUGUGGCAGAGGGGGGUGGAAUUCCGCGUGUAGCAGUGAAAUGCGUAGAGAUGCGGAGGAACACCGAUGGCGAAGGCAGCCCCCUGGGCCAACACUGACGCUCAGGCACGAAAGCGUGGGGAGCAAACAGG
rnacentral:rRNA from 1 species